CACGUAGGGUGCGAGCGUUGUCCGGAAUUAUUGGGCGUAAAGAGCUCGUAGGCGGUGUGUCGCGUCGGCCGUGAAAACCUGCAGCUUAACUGUGGGCUUGCGGUCGAUACGGGCAUCACUGGAGUUCGGCAGGGGAGACUGGAAUUCCUGGUGUAGCGGUGAAAUGCGCAGAUAUCGAGGAGGAACACCGGUGGCGAAGGCGGGUCU
rnacentral:rRNA from 1 species